rnacentral:ncRNA from 2 species
AUGAUUACAAGAGGAGAGACUACUUUUAUGGUAGCGCCGAAGGAGCAAGCUAUUUUGUAGCGAAUCUCUCAGGCAAAAAGACUCUUGUAGGACG